AACGAACGCUGGCGGCAUGCCUAACACAUGCAAGUCGAACGAGACCUUCGGGUGUAGUGGCGCCCGGGUGCGUAACGCGUGGGAACCUGCCUUUAGGUUCGGAAUAACUCAGAGAAAUUUGAGCUAAUACCGGAUGAUGUCUUCGGACCAAAGAUUUAUCGCCUUUAGAUGGGCCCGCGUUGGAUUAGCUAGUUGGUAGGGUAAAGGCCUACCAAGGCGACGAUCCAUAGCUGGUCUGAGAGGAUGAUCAGCCACACUGGGACUGAGACACGGCCCAGACUCUUACGGGAGGCAGCAGUGGGGAAUAGUGGACAAUGGGCGAAGGCCUGAUCCAGCAAUGCCGCGUGAGUGAUGAAGUCCUUAGAGUUGUAAUGCGCUUGUACCCGAGAUGAUAAUGACAGUAUCGGGAGAAUAAGCUCCGGCUAACUACGUG
rnacentral:rRNA from 1 species